GGCACUCAGCCUCCAGCGCCAGCUUAUAGCUUCAGCCGCUGCUGCUCCAGGAAAUUGAAAAUGGCCCUUCAGCUAUGCUAGGUCUGUAAUGGGAAGUGCCACAGUUCGAUAUUUCUGUUAUGGGUGCCUUUUUACAUCCGCGACCUGGACAGUUUUACUUUUCGUUUAUUUCAACUUCAGUGAAGUGACUCAGCCACUUAAGAAUGUGCCCAUCAAGGGGUCUGGGCCCCAUGGACCAUUUCCCAAAAAAUUCUAUCCCCGGUUUACUCGUGGUCCAAAUCGAGUAUUAGAGCCACAGUUCAAAGGAAACAAAAUUGAUGAUGUGAUAGAUGGUCAUAUUGAAGAUCCAGAAAACGGCCAUCUGAAAUUCUCUUCUGAAUUAGGUAUGAUUUUUAAUGAACGCGAUCAGGAGUUGAGAGACUUGGGCUAUCAGAAACACGCCUUUAAUAUGCUUAUCAGUAACCGCUUAGGCUACCAUAGAGAUGUGCCGGACACAAGGAAUGCUGCAUGUAAAGAACAGUCCUACCCGACUGACCUGCCAGUCGCUAGUGUUGUUAUUUGCUUCUACAAUGAAGCGUUUUCCGCCUUGCUCCGGACCGUGCACAGUGUCAUCGACCACACUCCCACACAUCUUCUUCAUGAAAUCAUCCUCGUGGAUGAUGACAGUGACUUUGAUGAUUUGAAAGGAGAACUAGAUGAAUAUGUUCAUAAACACCUCCCUGGAAAAAUUAAAAUAAUAAGAAAUACAAAGCGUGAGGGGUUGAUUCGAGGAAGAAUGAUCGGAGCAGCCCAUGCAACAGGAGAAGUGCUCGUGUUCCUGGACAGCCACUGUGAAGUGGACGUGAUGUGGCUGCAGACCUUGCUGGCCACCAUCCACGAGGACAGGCAGGCCGUGGUGUGCCCAGUGAUCGACAUCAUUAGUGCUGACACCCUCGCCUACAGCUCGUCCCCUGUUGUCCGUGGAGGGUUCAACUGGGGGCUGCACUUCAAAUGGGACCUUGUUCCCCUUUCUGAGCUAGGAGGAGCAGAAGGAGCCACUGCCCCCAUAAAGUCACCUACAAUGGCUGGAGUAUUGUUUGCCAUGAACAGACAGUAUUUCCAUGACCUUGGGCAGUACGACAGUGGCAUGGAUAUCUGGGGAGGAGAAAAUUUGGAAAUAUCAUUUCGGAUCUGGAUGUGUGGAGGUAAGCUCUUCAUCAUCCCUUGCCCCAGAGUGGGACACAUUUUCCGAAAAAGAUGACCAUAUGGAUCUCCUGAAGGCCAGGACACCAUGACACACAACUCUUUGAGACUGGCACACAUCUGGUUGGAUGAAUACAAGGAGCAGUAUUUUUCCUUAAGACCUGAUCUCAAGACCAAAAGCUAUGGAAAUAUCAGUGAGCGUGUUGAAUUAAGGAAGAAAUUGGGUUGCAAAUCAUUUAAAUGGUAUUUGGAUAACAUUUACCCAGAGAUGCAGAUAUCUGGGCCCCAUGCCAAACCCCAGCAACCCAUUUUUAUCAACAGGGGGCUGAAACGCCCCAAAGUCCUUCAACGUGGAAGGCUCUAUCACCUCCAGACCAACAAGUGUUUGGUGGCCCAGGGACGUCCAAGUCAGAAGGGAAGCCUAGUAGUGCUCAAGGCCUGUGACUAUGGUGACCCAAAUCAGAUCUGGAUUUAUAAUGAAGAGCAUGAAUUGGUUUUAAAUAACCUCCUGUGUCUAGAUAUGUCGGAAACUCGCUCGUCAGACCCACCACGACUCAUGCAGUGCCACGGGUCAGGAGGAUCCCAGCAGUGGACCUUUGGGAAAAAUAAUCGGCUAUACCAGGUGUCAGUUGGACAGUGCCUGAGAGCGGUGGAUCCACUGGGUCAAAAAGGCUCUGUUGCUAUGGCAAUCUGCGAUGGCUCCUCCUCCCAGCAGUGGCAUUUAGAAGGCUAAGGUGGGCGCCAUGGCUGGAAUGGUGGUCCACUGGGCUUUGCUUCCUCUGCAAGCCAGCUUGGGGAGGAUGACCAUCUCCCUGUCCUGGAGAUGCCUGGGCAUGUUGGCAGAUCUGGGAGACCACAGGUGAAGAAGUGUGUUUCACUACGAUCAUGUCUGAGCUGCUAGUAAAGAAUUUCUUGAUUAUAGAGGGAAACCAGAAUAUAAUUUUAAAGACUUGGGUUUGUACAGAAGGACAAAACCCAGGAAAUGGACAUUUCUAUUCAAAUUUAUGCCUCUUUUAAAAUUUCCUUUAAUGAUGGAAUGGUAUUUAUCUGAUCAGGAACUUGUGAUUUCUUU